GACGAACGCUGGCGGCGUGCCUAAUACAUGCAAGUAGGACGCGGUUGCGAACGGGUGAGUAACGCGUGGGUAACUACCUAUUAGAGGGGGAUAACUAUUGGAAACGAUAGCUAAUACCGCGUACUAGUAGAUGGACCUGCGUUGUAUUAGCUAGUAGGUCGGGUAAUGGCCUACCGAGGCAACGGUACAUAACCGACCUGGGAGGGGGAGUGGGCAAAACUGGAAUGGGAAAACGGCCCGAAUCCCACGGGAGGGAGCAGUAGGGAAUUUUCGGAAAUGGGGGGAAACCUGACCGCGCCCAGCCGCGGGAGUGAAGAAGGGUCUUGGAUUGUUAAGCUAUGUUGUGUAGGAAGCGGUACUUAACCAGAAAGGGCCGGCUAACUACGUGCCAGCAGCCGCGGUAAUAC
rnacentral:rRNA from 1 species